GAGGAGGGCACGGCUGGCAGCCUCCCAGGGGCCCCUGGGACUCGGAGACUCUCCCUCCACUCACUCCUCUGCCCCAGCGGCUCCCUGACCAGCACCCACAGAGGAAGCACGGAGCCUGUGACAAACCUGCCCUUUCUCUCUCCAGGGACGUGGCCCAGUGGCUGGCGACCAGAGACCACACACAGCCCUCACCCUGUCGGCUGGCAGCCCUGGCAGCCUGACCUGCGGGGGGGGCGGGGGGGGCAGCUCCCCUGCCCAGGGAGGAAGGGAGAGGGAAGAGAGACCCUUCAGUCCGCGGGCCGACACUCUAUCCACUGAGCCACACCAGCCAGGGUGCGAGGGUCACCUGACCCCGGCCGCCGUGUACAAGUAGUUAAUGACAGCGCCCGGCCGCCCGCCCCGUGAGUGAUCGCCGAGCGCGCCCGGCCUGUCACGGUUUAUGGAGGGAGGCCGUCUGUCCGCCGGCCGCCUCGCCCUCAGCAGGUUGACGCGCAACCACGGAGCCACGCCGGCCGGGCUCACCUUCUUCCUGGUGUUCUUGGAUUUUUGGUAAAUCCGGUCGGUCACCCACAGGAGGAAGCUGUGAUGAGAAGGAUGAUAGGUUUGAAUCGAGACCAGAAGGGGAAACCCCGCGUCCGUGAGAACAAAUGCGUGUGGGUUUUUUUUUUUUUCUGUUUCUUUAUAAUCACGUGUCGAUUUUCACACCACACGUUACAGGUCAGAGUUCAACAAGUAUUUCCCAGAUUAUCUUUUUAAAAAAAUAUAUUUUUAUUGCUUUCAGAGAGAAAGGCAGAGGCAGGGAGAGAGUUAGAAACAGCAAGGAUGAGAGAGAACCAUGGACCGGCUGCCUCCUGCACGCCCCAC